CAGGCCUUCUGGACUGCAGACAUCUCUGACCAAAGGCCUCACAUGACAUGUACCCUGAUCCUGCCGAACGCCCGUCCACCCCAGACUCAGCUUCCAGGUUUGAUUGAUACGGUCUGCAGGCGACAUACAACUGCCCCGGG